rnacentral:lncRNA from 1 species
UGCCUUCGUCUUCGUCGUUCUCUUAGCUUUAAUAGCCGCCUCUCUUGGCCAAGCUCCGGGCGCCGCACCGGCCUCUUCUCCAACCAAAUCGUCCCCAGCCUCCUCUCCUAAAUCUGCACCUCCACCAACAGUGGCGACUCCUCCAUCAUCUUCACCCCUUGCUCCGUCCGGCGUUGCUCCCGCUCCUUUCACCGCAACUUCACCACCAGCUAUGGCUCCGGCUUCUUCUCCACCAGCUCCACCUACUGCUCCUUCCGACUCACCAAUGAUCACUCCAGUUCCAUCUUCUUCCAUCUCAAACCCUCCUGCACUGGCUCCGUCGCCAACAUCCACUCCUGGAAGUGGCGCUUUCGUGAACAGAAUCGCCGUCUCUGGAUCUAUCAUAGCUGCUGUAAUUUCCUCCGCUCUACUUCUUUAAAUGCAAUCAGUCUAUCUUCACUUUCCUCUGGAGACGCAGAUCUUAGGGUUUCAUUGUCGGCAUUAGUCGUUGCUGUAGUUUUCUUAGUAUAUUUUUUAUUUUACUCUUAUUUUUGGUGUACUUAGGGAACCGAGAGGAUUAGACGGUGGCCGCUUGAUGAUUAUUGUUAUUUAUUUGAAUUUCUUUCUUUAAUUACUGUUCUUUAGUCGAUUUGUACUUCAUUCUCAUUGUUACUAUCAUUACUAAUUAGAUCUUAUAUUAUCUCUUAAUCUGCCGGAUCUAUCUCUAUGUUCACAUUUUCCUCUUCCGGCCGAGUUCCCGCGAAUCGGAGAGACGAUAGCGGCGGCGAAACUGGCAAAG